AAGGAUCCCUCUUGUCCUUUUAAAUCCAUACCCCCUUGUACAGUGCAACCAUAGGCAGUCACAUACAUCAAAACAUAUGGUUCCUGCCGACAGGGUCUGUAUAGUUAUCAGAUUUUCUGUGCGAUGGCUCCAUACAUG